GACGAACGCUGGCGGCGUGCUUAACACAUGCCAGUCGAACGGAAAGGCCCUGCUUUUGUGGGGUGCUCGAGUGGCGAACGGGUGAGUAACACGUGAGUAACCUGCCCUUGACUUUGGGAUAACUUCAGGAAACUGGGGCUAAUACCGGAUAGGAGCUCCUGCUGCAUGGUGGGGGUUGGAAAGUUUCGGCGGUUGGGGAUGGACUCGCGGCUUAUCAGCUUGUUGGUGGGGUAGUGGCUUACCAAGGCUUUGACGGGUAGCCGGCCUGAGAGGGUGACCGGCCACAUUGGGACUGAGAUACGGCCCAGACACCUACGGGAGGCAGCAGUGGGGAAUAUUGCACAAUGGGCGGAAGCCUGAUGCAGCAACGCCGCGUGCGGGAUGACGGCCUUCGGGUUGUAAACCGCUUUCGCCUGUGACGAAGCGUGAGUGACGGUAAUGGGUAAAGAAGCACCGGCUAACUACGUG
rnacentral:rRNA from 1 species